AACCUUUAGCUAAACAAGUAUUAAAGGCGACGCCUGCCCAGUGAAUAAUUAAACGGCCGCGGUAUCCUAACCGUGCAAAGGUAGCAUAAUCAUUUGUCUAUUAAUUGUAGACCUGUAUGAAAGGCUAAAUGAGAAUCCAACUGUCUCUUACAACAAAUCAAUAAAACUGAUCUCCUAGUACAAAAGCUAGAAUACUAACAUAAGACCAGAAGACCCUGUGAAGCUUUAACAAACCCAUUAAACCAAAUAAUGCUUACUUUCGGUUGGGGCGACCUUGGAAUAAAAAAGAACUUCCAACAUAUGACCUCCUCAUAAAACUAAGGCGAACAAGCCAAUAUUAGACCCAGCACAGCUGAUAAUUGAAAUAAGUUACUCCAGGGAUAACAGCGCUAUCUUCUUUAAGAGCCCAUAUCAAAAAGAAGGUUUACGACCUCGAUGUUGGAUCAGGACAUCCCAGUAAUGCAACCGUUACUAAAGGUUCGUUUGUUCAACGAUUAACAGUCCU
rnacentral:rRNA from 1 species